rnacentral:lncRNA from 12 species
CCCGCCAAGGACUAUUGGACAUUGGACCUCAGGAGGAGCCCAUAUUCUUAAUGAGAAUUCAAAAGGAAGUGGUGCCGGAAAGGUGAAUCAAUCCAUGAAGAUGGUUUGCUCUGGAGCCCCCUGGGGACAUUCUUGCAAGUAUAUUGGCACUCUCUCUGCUGUUGGGUAUGGUAAGUAGUUACCCCAUUAUAUCCAGAGGCUUAUCUUUAAUGAAAUGCUGGCCGUUUAGCAUCUUCUUGUGUAACUGCUUUUAGGGUUACCUGUCAAGAGUGACUCCCAUCCAGAAAAGCAUGAGAAAUAACCCAUCAGUUAGCAGUCCCGUCUUGAGUUUUCUUAUAAAUUGCCAUACCCUUGAAAAUAAUUUUAGUCGGCAAUAGCAAAUCAAUACAGAUAACAAGAGACAGUUUAAUCUCCUUAGAUAUAUUG